UACGAAGGGGGCUAGCGUUGUUCGGAAUCACUGGGCGUAAAGCGCACGUCGGCGGACUUUUAAGUCAGAGGUGAAAUCCCAAGGCUCAACCUUGGAACUGCCUUUGAUACUGGGAGUCUUGAGUUCGGGAGAGGUGAGUGGAACUGCGAGUGUAGAGGUGAAAUUCGUAGAUAUUCGCAAGAACACCAGUGGCGAAGGCGGCUCACUGGCCCGAUACUGACGCUGAGGUGCGAAAGCGUGGGGAGCAAACAGG
rnacentral:rRNA from 1 species